rnacentral:rRNA from 1 species
UACGUAGGGGGCAAGCGUUGUCCGGAUUUAUUGGGCGUAAAGAGCGUGUAGGCGGCCAGGUAGGUCCGUUGUGAAAACUCGAGGCUCAACCUCGAGCUGUCGAUGGAAACCAUCUGGGUAGAGUCCGGAAGAGGAGAGUGGAAUUCCCGGUGUAGCGGUGAAAUGCGCAGAUAUCGGGAAGAACACCCGUGGCGAAGGCGGCUCUCUGGGACGGUACUGACGCUGAGACGCGAAAGCGUGGGGAGCGAACAGG